AAGUUCUACUUUUAAGUAUGUGAGAGCUAAUCUUUGUUGUCCACCUUUCUACAUUUCAAGUCAACUAAAACCCAAGCUGCUGUCCAUUCCUGUGAGGGACUUUUGUCAUCAGAUCAUUUGAAUCAGGAAGGACCACCCUAAAUCUGGGUUGUACCUUCUGUGACAGUCAAGAAAAAUACAUGACAUGAGAGAAGAAAAUACUGGUUUUUGACUGCUUGCCCUCACAUUCCCUGAAAGUUCAUCUGUUACUACUUCCUGCCUUCACAGGGUAUUAGAACCACUUACUUUUAAUUCCAAGGAGACUGAAGACAAGUGGCUCUCUGUGAAUCCUCUGGGAUUUCUGUGGCAGAUAGGGACUCCUAAGACAUCUAAAAUCUGGGACUGAACAAUUCAGGCUUUCCAGUGUGAGACAGCCAUUUUUUUGGACUAUCUGAACCACAUCCUGUAAGCCAAUCUAAUAAAUCCCCAUGGAAUAUUUACAAUCACUCCUUUGGUCUGUUCUGUGAGAUACUAAUAUAAAUACAAGUUGAGGCUGUGCUGGCAAACAAAAACUUUGUGUUUCUAUGACUUAUCCAAAGAAUCAAACAUAAAGACACUCCAAGAACCAGGAGUCUUCGAAGUGUCAAAGUCAUCAUCAAUGCCACGGCCAGGCUGCCAGCUCAACUUUAGUUCAUGAGUUUACUGGUGGUAUUAUAGGAGGUUUUGUUUGUUGCUACUUCAUUAACUGAUAUGCACAACUCCUAUUUCUGUUAGAUUGUGGAGCUCACACACAAAGCUGCAGCAGAAGCAGGAGGCACAAAGGGGAAAUGGAGGUGAUGAUGCUUGGCUGGUUGGAAAGGAAUGAGCUCCAAGAAUAAAGCUGCAAGUCAGGUACAUGAUCCUUCUCACUGUUGGCCGACUAACUACAUCACUGGUGUGGCUGCUGAUAGUCUUUUGCCACAGUUAACAGUUUUCUUCCUAUGAUUUUAUGCUUCCAAUCUGCCUUUGCUGCUACAAAUGGUAAU
rnacentral:lncRNA from 1 species